rnacentral:rRNA from 1 species
CAGUCGCCGCGGGAAUACGUAGGGUGCGAGCGUUGUCCGGAAUUAUUGGGCGUAAAGAGCUUGUAGGUGGUUUGUCGCGUCUGCUGUGAAAAUCCGAGGCUCAACCUCGGACUUGCAGUGGGUACGGGCAGACUAGAGUGUGGUAGGGGAGACUGGAAUUCCUGGUGUAGCGGUGGAAUGCGCAGAUAUCAGGAGGAACACCGAUGGCGAAGGCAGGUCUCUGGGCCAUUACUGACACUGAGAAGCGAAAGCAUGGGGAGCGAACAGGAUUAGAUACCCCCGUAGUCCCUGUCUCUUAUAC